GAAGGUCCCAAGGGUUUGGCUGUUCGCCAAUUAAAGCGGUACGCGAGCUGGGUUCAAACCGUCGUGAGACAGGUUGGUCUCUAUCUGCUGUAGGCGUGAGUGCUUGAGAGGACUCUUUCUUAGUACGAGAGGACCGGAAAGAACAAACCUCUGGUGUAUCGGUUGUUCCGCCAGGAGCAUUGCCGAGUAGCUAUGUUUGGACGAGAUAACCGCUGAAAGCAUCUAAGCGGGAAGCUCACCUCAAGAUAAGGCACUAGUCAUGAUUCGUCAUGACAGGACAUCCUAGAAGAAUACUAGGUUGAUAGGCUUUAGGUGUAAGUUCCGUAAGGAAUUUAGCCAAGAAGUACUAAUAUGAUCCAUUAAUCUUUCCAAA
rfam:Parcubacteria (Moranbacteria) bacterium GW2011_GWE2_47_10 TX75_C0011, whole genome shotgun sequence.